rnacentral:rRNA from 1 species
UUGUGGUUAAAAAGCUCGUAGUUGGAUCUCGGCGGACUGAGGGCGGUUUGCUUGCUAGUAUUACUGCCCUAUAGUCCGUAGUUUUGCCAGAGGUUUCGGGGUGCUCUUAAUCGAGUGUCCCGGGAUGCUGGCAGGUUUACUUUGAAAAAAUUAGAGUGCUCAAAGCAGGCUAUUACGCCUGAAUAUUCGUGCAUGGAAUAAUAGAAUAGGAAGUCGUUUCUAUUUUGUUGGUUUUCGGAAAUCGACUUAAUGAUUAAUAGGGACAGUCGGGGGCAUUUGUAUUCAAACGACAGAGGUGAAAUUCUUGGACCGUUUGAAGACAAACUACUGCGAAAGCAUUUGCCAAGAAUGUUUUCAUUAAUCAAGAACGAAAGUUAAAGGUUCGAAGGCGAUUAGAUACCGCCCUAGUUUUAACCAUAAACGAUGCCAGCUAGCGAUCUGCGGACGUUUUUUUUGUAGACUCCGCAGGAAGCUUCCGGGAAACCAAAGCAUUUGGGUUCCAGGGGAAGUAUGGUUGCAAAGCUGAAACUUAAAGGAAUUGACGGAAGGGCACCACCAGGAGUGGAGCCUGUGGCUUAAUUUGACUCAACACGGGAAAUCUCACCAGGCCCGGACACUGGAAGGAUUGACAGAUUGAUAGCUCUUUCUUGAUUCGGUGGGUGGUGGUGC